rnacentral:rRNA from 1 species
UACAGAGGUCUCAAGCGUUGUUCGGAUUCAUUGGGCGUAAAGGGCGCGUAGGCGGCGGGGCAAGUCGGGUGUGAAAUCUCAGAGCUCAACUCCGGAACUGCCAUUGAAACUGUAGAACUUGAGGAUGAGAGAGGUGAGUGGAAUUCCCAGUGUAGAGGUGAAAUUCGUAGAUAUUGGGAAGAACACCGGUGGCGUAGGCGACUAGCUGGGCCAUAACUGACGCUGAGGAACGAAAGCCAGGGGAGCGAAUGGG